rnacentral:rRNA from 2 species
GGUUAAGCGACUAAGCGUACACGGUGGAUGCCCUGGCAGUCAGAGGCGAUGAAGGACGUGCUAAUCUGCGAAAAGCGUCGGUAAGGUGAUAUGAACCGUUAUAACCGGCGAUGUCCGAAUGGGGAAACCCAGUGCAAUUCGUUGCACUAUCGUUAACUGAAUACAUAGGUUAACGAGGCGAACCGGGGGAACUGAAACAUCUAAGUACCCCGAGGAAAAGAAAUCAACCGAGAUUCCCCCAGUAGCGGCGAGCGAACGGGGAGCAGCCCAGAGUCUGAAUCAGCUUGUGUGUUAGUGGAACGGUCUGGAAAGUCCGACGGUACAGGGUGAUAGUCCCGUACACCAAAAUGCACAGGCUGUGAACUCGAAGAGUAGGGCGGGACACGUGGUAUCCUGUCUGAAUAUGGGGGGACCAUCCUCCAAGGCUAAAUACUCCUGACUGACCGAUAGUGAACCAGUACCGUGAGGGAAAGGCGAAAAGAACCCCGGCGAGGGGAGUGAAAAAGAACCUGAAACCGUGUACGUACAAGCAGUGGGAGCACCUUCGGGUGUGACUGCGUACCUUUUGUAUAAUGGGUCAGCGACUUAUAUUCUGUAGCAAGGUUAACCGUAUAGGGGAGCCGCAGGGAAACCGAGUCUUAACUGGGCGUUAAGUUGCAGGGUAUAGACCCGAAACCCGGUGAUCUAGCCAUGGGCAGGUUGAAGGUUGGGUAACACUAACUGGAGGACCGAACCGACUAAUGUUGAAAAAUUAGCGGAUGACUUGUGGCUGGGGGUGAAAGGCCAAUCAAACCGGGAGAUAGCUGGUUCUCCCCGAAAGCUAUUUAGGUAGCGCCUCGUGAAUUCAUCUUCGGGGGUAGAGCACUGUUUCGGCUAGGGGGUCAUCCCGACUUACCAACCCGAUGCAAACUACGAAUACCGAAGAAUGUUAUCACGGGAGACACACGGCGGGUGCUAACGUCCGUCGUGAAGAGGGAAACAACCCAGACCGCCAGCUAAGGUCCCAAAGUCAUGGUUAAGUGGGAAACGAUGUGGGAAGGCACAGACAGCCAGGAUGUUGGCUUAGAAGCAGCCAUCAUUUAAAGAAAGCGUAAUAGCUCACUGGUCGAGUCGGCCUGCGCGGAAGAUGUAACGGGGCUAAACCAUGCACCGAAGCUGCGGCAGCGACACUAUGUGUUGUUGGGUAGGGGAGCGUUCUGUAAGCCUGCGAAGGUGACCUGUGAGGGUUGCUGGAGGUAUCAGAAGUGCGAAUGCUGACAUAAGUAACGAUAAAGCGGGUGAAAAGCCCGCUCGCCGGAAGACCAAGGGUUCCUGUCCAACGUUAAUCGGGGCAGGGUGAGUCGACCCCUAAGGCGAGGCCGAAAGGCGUAGUCGAUGGGAAACAGGUUAAUAUUCCUGUACUUGGUGUUACUGCGAAGGGGGGACGGAGAAGGCUAUGUUAGCCGGGCGACGGUUGUCCCGGUUUAAGCAUGUAGGCUGGUUGUCCAGGCAAAUCCGGAUAAUCAAGGCUGAGGUGUGAUGACGAGGCACUACGGUGCUGAAGUAACAAAUGCCCUGCUUCCAGGAAAAGCCUCUAAGCAUCAGGUAACAUUAAAUCGUACCCCAAACCGACACAGGUGGUCAGGUAGAGAAUACCAAGGCGCUUGAGAGAACUCGGGUGAAGGAACUAGGCAAAAUGGUGCCGUAACUUCGGGAGAAGGCACGCUGGUGUGUAGGUGAAGUCCCUGCGGAUGGAGCUGAGACCAGUCGAAGAUACCAGCUGGCUGCAACUGUUUAUUAAAAACACAGCACUGUGCAAACACGAAAGUGGACGUAUACGGUGUGACGCCUGCCCGGUGCCGGAAGGUUAAUUGAUGGGGUUAUCCGUAAGGAGAAGCUCUUGAUCGAAGCCCCGGUAAACGGCGGCCGUAACUAUAACGGUCCUAAGGUAGCGAAAUUCCUUGUCGGGUAAGUUCCGACCUGCACGAAUGGCGUAAUGAUGGCCAGGCUGUCUCCACCCGAGACUCAGUGAAAUUGAACUCGCUGUGAAGAUGCAGUGUACCCGCGGCAAGACGGAAAGACCCCGUGAACCUUUACUAUAGCUUGACACUGAACAUUGAGCCUUGAUGUGUAGGAUAGGUGGGAGGCUUUGAAGCGUGGACGCCAGUCUGCGUGGAGCCAACCUUGAAAUACCACCCUUUAAUGUUUGAUGUUCUAACGUUGGCCCCUUACCGGGGUUGCGGACAGUGUCUGGUGGGUAGUUUGACUGGGGCGGUCUCCUCCCAAAGCGUAACGGAGGAGCACGAAGGUUAGCUAAUCCUGGUCGGACAUCAGGAGGUUAGUGCAAUGGCAUAAGCUAGCUUGACUGCGAGCGUGACGGCGCGAGCAGGUGCGAAAGCAGGUCAUAGUGAUCCGGUGGUUCUGAAUGGAAGGGCCAUCGCUCAACGGAUAAAAGGUACUCCGGGGAUAACAGGCUGAUACCGCCCAAGAGUUCAUAUCGACGGCGGUGUUUGGCACCUCGAUGUCGGCUCAUCACAUCCUGGGGCUGAAGUAGGUCCCAAGGGUAUGGCUGUUCGCCAUUUAAAGUGGUACGCGAGCUGGGUUUAGAACGUCGUGAGACAGUUCGGUCCCUAUCUGCCGUGGGCGCUGGAGAAUUGAGGGGGGCUGCUCCUAGUACGAGAGGACCGGAGUGGACGCAUCACUGGUGUUCGGGUUGUCAUGCCAAUGGCACUGCCCGGUAGCUAAAUGCGGAAGAGAUAAGUGCUGAAAGCAUCUAAGCACGAAACUUGCCCCGAGAUGAGUUCUCCCUGAGACUUUAAGUCUCCUGAAGGAACGUUGAAGACGACGACGUUGAUAGGCCGGGUGUGUAAGCGCAGCGAUGCGUUGAGCUAACCGGUACUAAUGAACCGUGAGGCUUAACCUU